UGGUCCUACGGGACGCAGCAGUGGGGAAUAUUGGGCAAUGGGCGCAAGCCUGACCCAGCGACGCCGCGUGAGGGAAGACGGUCUUCGGAUUGUAAACCUCUUUCAGCAGGGAAGACAAAAGGACGGUACCUGCAGAAGAAGCCACGGCUAACUACGUGCCAGCAGCCGCGGUAAUACGUAGGUGGCAAGCGUUAUCCGGAUUUACUGGGUGUAAAGGGAGCGCAGGCGGCGUGGCAAGUCAGAUGUGAAAACCCGGGGCCCAACCCCGGGAGUGCAUUUGAAACUGCCAUGCUGGAGUGCCGGAG
rnacentral:rRNA from 1 species